UGGGGAAUUUUGGACAAUGGGCGCAAGCCUGAUCCAGCAAUGCCGCGUGCAGGAUGAAGGCCUUCGGGUUGUAAACUGCUUUUGUACGGAACGAAACGGUCUUUUCUAAUACAGAAGGCUAAUGACGGUACCGUAAGAAUAAGCACCGGCUAACUACGUGCCAGCAGCCGCGGUAAUACAGAGGGUGCAAGCGUUAAUCGGAAUUACUGGGCGUAAAGCGCGCGUAGGUGGUUAGUUAAGUUGGAUGUGAAAUCCCCGGGCUCAACCUGGGAACUGCAUUUGUGACUGCAUAGCUGGAGUGCGGCAGAGGGGGAUGGAAUUCCGCGUGUAGCAGUGAAAUGCGUAGAUAUGCGGAGGAACACCGAUGGCGAAGGCAGCCUCCUGGGCCAGUACUGACGCUCAUGCACGAAAGCGUGGGGAGCAAACA
rnacentral:rRNA from 1 species